AGCAGCCGCGGUAAUUCCAGCUCCAAUAGCGUAUAUUAAAGUUGUUGCAGUUAAAAAGCUCGUAGUUGAAUUUCGGGGUUAGUAGGUUGGUCAUGCCUCUGGUAUGUACUGGUCUCACUGAUUCCUCCUUCCUGAUGAACCGUAAUGCCAUUAAUUUGGUGUUGCGGGGAAUUUGGACUGUUACUUUGAAAAAAUUAGAGUGUUUAAAGCAAGCUAACGCUUGAAUACAUUAGCAUGGAAUAAUGAAAUAGGACGUUCGAUCCUAUUUUGUUGGUUUCUAGGAUUGACGUAAUGAUUAAUAGGGAUAGUUGGGGGCAUUAGUAUUCAAUUGUCAGAGGUGAAAUUCUUGGAUUUAUUGAAGACUAACUACUGCGAAAGCAUUUGCCAAGGAUGUUUUCAUUAAUCAAGAACCAAAGUUAGGGGAUCGAAGACGAUCACAUACCGUCGCAGUCUUAACCAUAAACUAUGUCGACCAGGGAUCGGAUGAUGUUAAUUUUUUAAUGAUUCAUUUGCCGCCUCACU
rnacentral:rRNA from 1 species